rnacentral:rRNA from 1 species
GAUGAACGCUGGCGGCGUGCCUAAUACAUGCAAGUCGAGCGAACGGACGAGAAGCUUGCUUCUCUGAUGUUGGCGGCGGACGGGUGAGUAACACGUGGAUAACCUACCUAUAAGACUGGGAUAACUUCGGGAAACCGGAGCUAAUACCGGAUGAUAUCUUGAACCGCAUGGUUCAAAAGUGAAAGACGGUCUUGCUGUCACUUAUAGAUGGAUCCGCGCUGCAUUAGCUAGUUGGUAAGGUAACGGCUUACCAAGGCAACGAUGCAUAGCCGACCUGAGAGGGUGAUCGGCCACACUGGAACUGAGACACGGUCCAGACUCCUACGGGAGGCAGCAGUAGGGAAUCUUCCGCAAUGGGCGAAAGCCUGACGGAGCAACGCCGCGUGAGUGAUGAAGGUCUUCGGAUCGUAAAACUCUGUUAUUAGGGAAGAACAUAUGUGUAAGUAACUGUGCACAUCUUGACGGUACCUAAUCAGAAAGCCACGGCUAACUACGUG